rnacentral:rRNA from 1 species
CCGGGCAUAACUUAGGAACUACAUUGCGAUGCGUAACGAUCGAGUGUGCGAGACGAUGGAGCAGUACUAGAACAGCGCGAAACGGAGCAGAGAUUAUAUAGGAUGUCCACGGCGUUCGCAGGUAUCUCACUUACGGGAUCCGAUGAGGUUCGAUACCAAGGGUGGACAAAAAAGUAGAUGAUCUGCUAGUGCAUGCGGUAUUCACAGUAUAUCUAACGAUUCGGCCUGUGAACAGUCAGGCGUCCCCCGACACGAUUAAUUGACCGCCUCGGGAGAUCUGUCGCAAGAGUAAAAAUCAAAGGAAUCGACGGGGGUCCGCACCAGCGGUGGAGCAUGUGGUUUAAUUUGAUGCAACGCGAAGAACCUCACCCGACCUAGACGGACUAGAAUCUUUCCACCGUUCUACCCGUGCCUUCGGGAAAAUGGAUACAGUUGCUCCAUGGAGCUCGUCAGCUCGUGUCGUGAGAUGUUGGGUUAAGUCCCGCAACGAGCGCAACCCUUUUCCUUACUUGCCAUCAUUUAGGAUUGGAACCUUAAGGAUACUGCCAGUGACAAGCUGGAGGAGGGGGGGGACGACGGUAAGUCAUCAUGGCCCUUUUUCCCAGGGCUACACACGUUUACAAUGGUCGGUCCAAAGGGUUGCUACCCAGCGAUGGGAUGCAAAUCUCAAAAAGCCGAUCGUAGUCCGCAUUUGGAGUUAAUCACUCGCCUCCCCGAAAUCGGAAUCCCUUGUAACCGCGGAUCACUCUCCCCCCGGCCAAUACUUUCCCGGCCUUCAACACACCGCCCG